GCGUGAAGGAAGAAGGCUUUCGGGUUGUAAACUUCUUUUAUUUAGGACGAAACAAAUGACGGUACUAAAUGAAUAAGCCACGGCUAACUACGUGCCAGCAGCCGCGGUAAUACGUAGGUGGCAAGCGUUAUCCGGAUUUACUGGGUGUAAAGGGCGUGUAGGCGGGACUGCAAGUCAGAUGUGAAAUUCCAGGGCUCAACCCUGGACCUGCAUUUGAAACUGUGGUUCUUGAGUGAUGGAGAGGCAGGCGGAAUUCCGAGUGUAGCGGUGAAAUGCGU
rnacentral:rRNA from 1 species